CCCUCUGGUAAUGGGCAAGGGGAUACCCCUGUUGGUGUUGUUCUUAUAUCAGUCAGGAGCAGAGCAGAGGCUGUCCUCUGUUCAUCCUAGCUUGAUGCCUAGCUUGAUGGCCAAAGCUGUCUUAUGCCUAGGAGUCAUAA